AACUCUCAACGAUGGAUGCCUCGGCUCGAGAAUCGAUGAACGACGCAGCGAAGUGCGAUAAGCACUGCGAUUUGCAGAAUUCCGUGAACCAGUAGAAAUCUCAACGCAUACU
rnacentral:rRNA from 1 species